CGGAUGUAGCUCAGCUGGCUAGAGCACCACCUUGCCAAGGUGUGGGUCGCGGGUUCGAAUCCCGUCAUCCG
rnacentral:tRNA from 1 species